CUGAGUCCUCAAAGAGCUGACAAUUUCAACUAGAUUCAUAGCAUAGAGUAGAGGGAUACAUAACUCAAUUGAAGUCGCCGACUCUCGCACCUUUCUUUACUAGAAGAAAUAUGUAAAACGUGUUAAGACAGGACUGAGAGCAAGAAAUUCAUGCCAAAUGCAUACUACAUCUAUAUCAGACAUGGAGGAUCAGAAGCUGUAGAACAAUCUCAUGAAUCGAUUAAUUUUAUGAUUCGCCCGUUCACCUUUUACCCAAACAGUAAACAACCACUUAAUUAAAAAAAACAGACAACAUAAGUAUAUCAUUAAAACGAUUCAGAAUCCAUAGCACGCUCAUUGAACAUAGAAUUUCAACUAUUGUUUCAGACUUAAUCACUUUUACAAUUGUCCAUGACUUGCAUUCACAGCAGAAACAUAGACGAAGAAAAGAUAUGAAUCUGGAAUGAACUCGUCACAACAAUGAAAUCGACACAGAACAAAAGCAGCAGAAAACCAACCCUCGAGCAACAACAGCCUCAAACUUCUCAAAUGACUUCCAUUUUUGACAAAAAUCCAGACUUAUAAUAUUAAAAAAAACAUGUGCACUCUGAAGGUUUCAAAAGAACUCUAAACCAUAAUUGACAGAAAUGAAAUAGUAACAUUCUCAGUGAUUUUUGUGUUAUUUCUAUUACAGAUAAAAUGAAGAAGAAAAAGAAACUCUCAAAUUCCUCUCCAAAAAUCUCUCCAAAAUUCCCUCUAAAAUCCCUUUUCCAAAAAUCCAUCCAAAAAAUAUUGUCUCGCCUUAUAUAGCCUUUGUAGCUCUUCUCCGACCUUCUCCACACAUCCAUCUGAAAUUCCUUGCAAUUUCUUUCCUAUGAACAAUUUUUUGGACAUAUGGAGGGCAAGGAUUGAUUUUUAUCCCUCCACGACCCCCAUUUAUCCAGCGAAUCGAUCCAGAGCUAAACAACGCGCAAACAAUCUCUGAAUAGAAUCUUCUAUUUGUCAGAAACCAUUAUACUGUGGUGACGAGGAGAGAGGGGGAACACAUGGGGUGAGAUGGGAGCUCACUCGCGUGAAUUUUGGGCUGAAAUGGGGGUUGGGUUUCGGUGUUCUUCAUAGAAGAACGGUACGCGUGGGUGUUCUUU
rnacentral:lncRNA from 1 species